AAGCAAGCCUGGGCAAUGGCGGGCGCCCCUCCCCCAGCCUCGCUGCCGCCUUGCAGUUUGAUCUCAGACUGCUGUGCUAGCAAUCAGCGAGACUCCAUGGGCGUAGGACCCUCGGAGCCAGGUGCGGGAUGUAAUCUCGUGGUGCGCCGUUUUUUAAGCCCGUCGGAAAAGCGCAAUAUUCGGGUGGGAGUGACCCGAUUUUCCAGGUAGAGACACUUUUGACUUGAUCUCUGCAGUCCUCAACAUGGAAAUUUCUUUUAGAAUGUAAUAAAUGCUUAAAGAAGAAUUAUACUGUGAGUAGAACAGCAUGCAGCCUGGCACUUAGCAAGUGAUCGAGAAAUAAUUCAUGAGUGAAUGAAUGAACAGAUGACAGAUGUAACCAAAAAUCAAAACUAAAAUCACUUCUGAAGUCGAGGAUGCACUUCUCAAUGGUGUGAACUUUAAAAGGUCAAAAAGUAAAUAUGUCCUUAUUUGGAAAAUAAGACAUGUUUCUUGUGAGGAAUAUUGGCCGAUCCAGAAAAAAAUAUAAAGAAGAAAAGAAAACAGCCAGAAAUCUCAGCAACUGGUAAAAAUGUGUGUUUCGUGGGGCAUCUGGUCUCUCGUCGUUGUCUGGGUGAAGGAGUCUGUCCCCAACCUGUCGUGGGUAGACUCGUGGGCUGGGGUGGGACCCCUUUUUGCUCUCAGCGUUUCCUCCCAGCCGGGCAUCACUUUUCUUUUCCCACUCACUGGGAUUCAGCACUCACCCAGAGCCAUUUCCUGUGAAUUCUUGUGGGACCGGAUCUUUUUCCUUCCUCUUGUAAAAAAAAUUCUGACCCUACGCCAUGGCUUAACUUUGAUUUCCAAAUUUAAAUGUAUAAAACCAAUGUUAUUUGGGAUGAGUGAAUACCAGGAUGGUUGAAGAGGUGGAAGCAAGAUGAAGGCAGCCGAGCAACCCCUGGAAGCUGAGAAAUCCCGGAGUGAAUCCUCCUUGGGUCUGUGCCCCACCUUGGGAACAAAUCAACCGCACUGAACUCUUUCGGGCCAUAAGGGGGCCAUUCACUCCAUGAUUUCUGCAGGAUGUAUUUAUACCCUUGAAGAAGCUUAAAAAAAAAAAAAAAAAAAAAACAGUCCGGAGACUGCAGGGAAAAAGAAACCAACCCCCAAACCAAAUACACCAGGGGCUUUGUGCUCCUACAUCCCGUGCUCCCGCCAUUCAUCCGUAACAAAAUUAGUGUAAUCAUAUCUGCAACGGAGGAGGAAUCAAAUUUGCUCUUCGGUUCUGCUGUUUGGGUAGAGGUUUCCUCAAGGGGACAGGAAAGAUGGAUCUUGCCCUUUGGGAAUUCAAUGAAAUUUUUUCUUGGCAAACCAUAUUUUCUAAGAUCAGCAGUUAGUUGAAAAGGAAAUCGUAUAGUGGUCUGAAAGGAGGUAAUCAUUACUCCAAGGAGUUCUGCCUCUACAUGGCACAUUUCAAAUCUUCCAUAACAAAAAACCCAGAGGUCAGAUGUUCCAGAAUUGAGUGGUUGCAGGCUCAGGACAGACAUCAAGUUCUUGCCUCUCCCUGCCUCGGGGCUGUGCCUCCCUCAGCUGCUGGCUUGGAGCUCAGGCCUGUCCCCUAGGGUCAUAGAACAGCUGUAAUGGCUGCCCUGGCAUGACCUUCUCCUACCGUCCUGCAGAGCAGCAGAAAAGCUACUGCUCCUUCCUGGUCCUCUCUCUCUCACUCACCAUUGUGAUAUAAUACACAUGAUACAAAAUCCCCGAUUUUAACCAUUUUAAAGAUACUAUUCAAUAGCAUGUAACACAUUUACAACAUUGUACAACCAUCACUACUCUCUAGUUCCAGGAAAUUUUCAUGACCCCAAGAGGACAUCUUUACUCAUUAAGCAGUCUCUCCCAUUCUCCCAGCUCCAAGCCCCCAGAAACCACGAGUUUGCCUUCUGUCUGUCUAGAUUUGACAUUUCUGGACAUUGCAUAGAAAUGGAAUCAUACAGCACGUGGCUUUCAUGUCUGCCUUCUUUCACUCAGCAUCGUGUCUCCGAGUUCACCCAUGGUAUAGCAUGUACCAUUCCAUUUUAUGGAAGACGAUAUUUCCUUGCAUCGAUGUACCACAUUUUGUUUAUCCUGGUUGUCUCUUUUUUAAGAGCAAGAAAGGUCUUUCCCAGAGCCCCUGGCAGACAUCUCUCCCUGUCUCACCAGCCAGACCUGAAUCUGGAGGUGAUGCCUAAUCCAAAAACCGGUGGGAGGACGGGAUGAUUAGGGGUGCUCUCUGACUCUCCUGUGCGGGAAAAUGUCUCUUCCCUGGGCUCACGGUAGUCUGGAGGAAGCUCCCUGAAUGACACGGGACUCCGCCAUCAAGCGUGGCAUGGGGAGUGGAUUUGGGGCGGCCAUCCACAGUGCUGCUGCAGCACCUGGCUCCUAAGUUCAUGACCCUCUAGAUCUACAGUAACUACAAUGAAACGGGUUGUUAAAAUGGAAAUUUCACAAGGGUUCCAAUAUGAUAGAUGUCAUUUACUAAACAACCUAUGGAUUAGGCCGUUCUUACUUUUGCUAUAAAGAAAUACCUGAGACAAAGUAAUUUAUAAAGAAAAGAGGUUUAAUUGGCUCACGGUUCUGCAGGCUGUACAAGGAUGGUGCUGACAUAGCUUAGCUUUUUGGGAGGCAUCAGGGGCUUUUACUCACAGCAGAAGGCAAAAUGGGAGCUUGGUAUCACCUGGUAAAAGCAGGAGCAAGAGAGAGUGCGGUGGAGGGGGAAUGUGUGUGUGUGUUGGGGGAUACACCCUUUUACACAGAUCUCAUGUGAACUCAGAGCAAGAGCUCACUCAUCACCAAGGAGAUGGCUAAACCCAUUUAUAAGGGGUCCACUGAUGAUCCAAACACCUUCCACCAGGCCCCACCUCCAACCCCAGGGAUCAUGUCUCAACAUGAGAUUUGGAGGAGACAAACAUCCAAACCACAUCAACCUAUGGGGCCAAAUCUUCAUAGGUGGAAUUUACAAAAGGAAGCCUUCUAAAAGAAGUUUCACCGCUCCUAAGCACUCAAACAGAAAAUGGAAAAAAAAGAUGUGAAGAGAUUUCUUUGAAGAUAAAGACUGAUUGUCCCCCACCCCUGUCCCACCCCACUGUUCUCCUCCCUUAAGCUGGGAAGGGACCACUCAAGCACGGUGACAGGACGUGCUCACAAGGCUGCCCUGCAAGGUGAAAUGUGUCUCUGCAGCUGGAGAGGCUGACGCCUGCACCUGUGGUUGUGAGAGACCCCCUGGAGCCUGUGGCUGCCAGAGAGCAGCGGGCUGGGACUGACUGGCAUUCCCAAGUGUGGUCAGGAUGAGGAGCCCUGUAUUAAUCGUGUUUUUUAGCUUCUGUAUUUUAUGAUGCUUUGACAUGUUGUGGACUUGCUGAUGUGGGAGAGGCCACCCCAUUCAAGCUAGCUGAUUCCUAGAGAGAGUAACUCCUCCUGCCUCCUGCAAGCCUGCCUGCCAUAUGCAAACCAGUCCAUCCAAAGCCUGUAUCCCCCAGUUGCCUUCUUUAUCAAUCUCUCCCACUCCAGGCCGGCAUUCCCCAGUCCUAAUCACUCCAAGGCCAGGUACCAGACAGCGAGGGACAGGUCCUAUACCCCAGAGCCUGCUGACCUUAUUCAAACUCGCCACCCUAGCCCUGCCCACCCUGUUUUACCCAUUUCUCUCCACAAAAAACACAAUAAAGACUCUUGCUACACUCUCCCUCACUCCUGCCUCCUGGCCACCCCAGUGCUUCCUCAUGUGACCCUGCAUGGGAUGGUGGCCUCCUCUUCUUGGCAACUGUAACAAACUUUUCAACAGCGGCUGUCUUCUGGUCUGUUUGCCUCACCAUACCCGAAUAAUAAUAAAGCCUACAUUUUAAAAAUAAGCAUGUAAAUGCUUCCUGGGGACCUGAUGCAGCCCACACAGAAGAGACAACUGGUGUCAGUCAUCUUGGAUCCUGUCCAUAAGGCCCCCGAGAGGGUCAAGGGGCCCCACCCCAGCAGUACUGUGCAUGCCACAGAUCUGGGGCUAGGAGGAAGGAACAUGUCAGCCUGCGUGCAUCAGCCUGGGUCACAGGAGCCACAAAAGGGAGACGCCCAGGACAGAGUCAGCCCAACAAUCGGUGGCCCCAGCAAAGGCAGCAUCAUCCUUACUUCUCCGAUGAAUUCUUUUUUUUCUAAGAUGGAGUCUCACUCUGUGGUAUAGGCUGGACUGCAGUGGUGCAAUCUCGGCUCACUGCAGCCUCUGCCUCCUGGAUUCAAGUGAUUCUCCUGCCUCAGCCUCCCGAGUAGCUGGGAUUACUGACACCCACCACCAUGCCUGGCUAGUUUUUGUAUUUUUAGUAGAGACGGGGUUUCACCAUGUUGGCCAGGCUGGUCUCGAACUCCUGACCUCAAGUGAUCCACCUAUCUCAGCCUCCCAAAGUGCUGGGAUUACAGGUGUAAGCCACCAGCCCUGCUCCAAAGAAUUCUGCACAGGCUGGUCUUUUCCUGGCAUUCUUUCUCUUUGAAACAUUCUGACCAGCCGAAGAUACUGUGUCCUGUAAGUGGCCCUGGCUGGGAACUACUGGUCAACCCUCCCUGCAAUAGUAAUAUUUCACUAAUAUGUCUGGAUAUUGAGCAUCUAAUAGAAUUUUGGUAUUUUUCCCCACCAAGUGUCUCUUUUUGCUGUUGUAACUUAGGUUGGAGCAUGAAUGAAUAAGUUGAGCAAGAUCUUGGAAGUCACUUCUGUAAUUCUUUCUUGUUUCCAAUGAGAAGUGAGGCUGAGACAGGCUUCAUGGUUUUUCCUUGCUCAGCAGAUAGCUAAUCGGUGGCUGAGCUCAAGCCAGAUCCCAGCCCUGAACAUAAUCGUGUGAGGGAAGAGAAUAUAAUUAGGUGGUCAAAUAAAAAUGAUGCCAAUAGGCAAAACUGAGCUUCAUUGCCUGGUGCCUCUAAAACAUUAGAUGGAUUUUGUUACAGGGAUGGAAAAAGAAUGAUCAGCUGAUCCUUUCCUCUCUAAUGUAAACUCCAAACUGGCAGUCACCUUCUCUCUCCUGGGUAUUGUUACGUCCCUAGCAAUGUGCCUGGCAUAUUGAAGGUGCUACAGGAAAUGUCUGUUCAGAGAUUAAAUGAAGAGUAACAGGUUUAAAGCCUUUUUAUCUUACCUAUAAAGUUAUUGGGUGUCUGCAAAGAAAUUUCAUCAUUGGAAAUUUUGUUUCACAGUUAAUUAGAAUUUCAUAACGUCAUUCAUGUUAUCCCUUCAAGAAUGUACUAAGCAUAUUCUUGAGCAUUUUUAUCUCUCUUUCUUGACAUUUUAAAGGUUCAGAUACCAAAAAAGGCAUUUGCUGUGAUUAAAUGUUGCUUUAGGUACAAGAAGAAGGGGACGCAGGCUGAGGCAUGGUGGUCAGUGAGCUUGUACUCACCAUGUCUGGCUGCCCAAUUCGUCCUGGAGCUUGGAGCUUGGGUGUGAUGUGUGUGUGUGUGUGUGUGUGUGUGUGUGUGUGUGUGUGUAUCUGCUGGGAACAGGGUGCCUUUGCAGUUAAUUUGAUUAAUGUAGUAGGCAGAAUAAAGGCCCCCCAAAAGAUGUCUUAAGCCCUGACCUGUUACCUUACCUGGCAAAAGGGAAGUAAAGUUGCAGUUGGAACUAAGAUUGCUAAUCGUCUGACCUUAAAAUUGGAAGAUUAUUCUACAUUACCUGGGCAGUCCCAAUGUAAUCACAAGGACCCCUAAAAGUGGAAGAGAGGGCAGGAGAGGAGUCAGAGUUGGAGAAGGAGAGGUGACAGUGGAAGCAGCUCAGGGUGAUGUGCUGUGAGAAGGACUCAGCCCAACCUCGCCAGCUUUAAAGAUCCAAGAGGGCCAUGUGCCAAGGAGUGCAGGGGUCCCCAGAAGCUGAAAACAAGAAGAAAGCAUGUUCUCCUCUAGAGGCUCCAGAAAGGAACCUGGCACUGCUGACACCUUGGUUUCAGCCCAGCGAGACCCAAGACCCAUGCGGGACAUCAGCCUCCAGAAUUCUAACACGAUGGACACAUUUGUAUUGUUUUAAGCCCCUGACUUUGUGCUAAUUUGUUACAGCAGCCAUGGGAAAUUAAUAAAGUCAACUUGGAUGGACAGUGAGACAUGCAUGUCAAGCCUACAAACAUGAAUGAUGAUUGAUUUGUCAAAACCAAAGCGUUGAAGCUUACUCUGUACCACUGAAGGUAAUUGUGCUCAUCCAGGCACUGGAACUAUCUGGAGGGGACUCUGUAUUAUGGAGAGUUAUUACCUGUCUUCCCUCUGUAGGCUGUAGGGAAGGUAAACCAGCCAGCAUGUUUUUAUUAGGUUAAUCAGAUCUUUACCAUCGAAUAAGAAAAACCAGAAGAAGAGUGGGUUAGAAAUCUGAGGCCCACAUCAAUCACAACUUUUGUGUAAGCGGCAUAUUUUAUUGCCUUUUAUCAUUUGUAAAAGACGGAACUGCCAGCGUCUGAUGACUGUCAGAUGUACAAAUUAUAUUCUACCUGCUUUAAGAAGAGUGCGGUUGCAAGUCCUUAACGGUGUGGAGGCACACAGCAGCUCUGAUGGGGUUUCCCAGUUUUACUCUCCAUCACCUGCAAUGACGGUGAAAUGAGAUGAAAAGUUCAACCCAAGUUGCAUGAGGAUGUUCCCAGGCUAAUGCAGGGAAUCUUCGGUGAGAAUGAAACUCUGGUUUUUUUUCCUGAGUCUGGUAUACCUUGGGUCUUUGAAGUUUGUAAGAUUAGAAUCUUACGUGCAAAAUGAUGUAUUAUCGAUUCAAGUUUCAGAAACUUUCAUACUUUAGCCUUUUAGCUAAAGUUUUAAAAACAUCAUGUUUUUGAUUUCCAUUUUUAAUUCAAUACCAUGUUUUAAAGAAGCUUUGUUGGCUCUAAAGCUUUGAGUCGAGCUUUUCCUGCAAAUACUCUGUGAUGCCAGUUUCUGAACCUGAGCUUUAUUAAUAUGGACAGCGAGGCCGCCUUUCAGCUAAAGGUUUUGCCCUGGGCAGUAGGGGAGUACUUUAUCAGCCUGCUCUCCUCUUGCUUAGGCGCUUGGAGUAUUUAGUCAAAUCAACACUGGCUUCUCUCCUGACCUUCCAUUCAUUAUUCCUGACACCAGAACCCGGCUGGAGAAGGGCACAUCGAGGCUGCCUCCAAGUCAUGAAAUUGUCCAAACAGGAUUUCUCAGAAGUCACGAGAGCUGGAGAGAAAAAUCAAAUUGUGUGAUAUAAUAAAUACUUUUUUCCUUCUCACAAA